ensembl:lncRNA
AUUUUACAAAGCUCUAGAUCUAUAAGAAAAUCAACAACGGCUUGGUGAAGAAAGAAGUGACUACUGUGCAGUGAGAGAGGACUGUGGCAUUUAAAAUUCCCCACCUACCACCCCCUAAAAACCACACUGCCUUAAAGAUGGCUCUUGUCAUCCUGGUGCGUUUUGUGAGUUCCGGAGGGGGAAAUAUGGAGUAACUCUCAAAAGAAUUGUGGUUGUCAAUUUUGACCUCUCUGGAGGCUCCCUGAAAGAUAUCAAACUGAGAUCAAAGGAACCCAACUUCAUCACACAUCUCUUCUCCGGAUUUCAAUUUUUACUUGAUCAUGUCUUCCCAUAUUAGAUCUUUUCCACUCAGUUUUUUGUCUCCAGCAUUUUCUCAAGCUAUCAUCUUGUUUGGAGGUAUCAUGGAUUCAGGAUCCAUGCCUAAG